GCUGCCUGGAACAGAAGAGCAGAGGAUCAGAGGCACCACCAGAGACUCUCAGAGUGGGUUAUUACCCUGGUGGGGGCGCCUGCUGCGGCGUAGGAGAUGGCGGGACUGGGGGCGCGGGUGUGAAGCCCCCAAGAAAUCUGUGUGAAUUUCCUGGGGAGGUAAGGUCUCCAGGCGCUCUCUCUGGGCCCGGGGAUUGGUCCGGGAAGGUCUCCUGGCGCCUACCCAGCCCCCACUGCCUGGACGCCUGCGCCUGCUCUGCCGCCCCACAGCGACCGCGAAGGCCAGCUUCUUCGAAAGGCCCAUUUUUCUCCGUGGCUGAGCGAAUGCUCCUAGAAUACCACGUUUAUAAUAAAUCAUGUAGGGUGGAAUUCCUGCUGGAUGUAUACACCUUUCUGCAUCAGAGCUCUUCAAACCCAGAAUGGUGAAUAGCUACCCCUGGGCUUACCCUUUUAUAAUUUUCAACAAACCUGCGUUUAGCCCCGGCUAGGUGCCAGCAAGUUGCUAGGGACUGAGGAGGCUCUGCAGAGGACCCGAGCUGAGGCCCUAAUCCUCAAGGCCAAUGGCAGGGGUCACCGCCCAGGCACCCCCAGAGAACGCGGUGUGAAGGAAAAGACACCAAACUCGGUGUUCAAAUGUGUGGGAUCUAUUCUAGUUCUGAUUCUGACACUUGCAAGUCAUGCAUCCUCCGAGCCUCGGCUUUCUCACCUAUAAAAUCUUCAACGUGACCUAUAAAAAUCCAUAAAAUCACCCCUGCUUCAUUGUUUCCCAGGGCUCAUAGAAACAUCAUACAAGGUGGAGAAGAGUACCCAAGAAGGACAAGCUUGGAAUGGGGCCCCCUCCCCAGGCUGGAGAUCAGACAUUGUUGGAGAAGGUAUCAUUGCAGCCCCCUACAUAGCAGAGAGAUUUGCUGAGUUGCAUAGUCUAGAGCUGGUUGCAAUUAUUGGACAAGCAGGAAACAAACCUCCACAGCCCAUGCGAGCCACACUGCUGGGUUGAGUGUAUGAGCAUGUAGAAUGAUUGGGUCUCCAGUGCGGACAGAAGGCAUGGAUCGCGUGGUGCCUGUGUUGGGAGGAUACUAAGAGGGCGAUCACCAUGCCAGGACAAGACUAGUUGCCUGGGAUCUUCUGGGCACGUGACUGGAGCAGAGUACCACUGGAUCUCCUCACACCAGCCAGACCCAGGAAGAGAAGCUCCUUUCACCUGCACUGUUCUCUCAGCACCCUCCACGGAGAAAGCUUCAUGUUAUGCUUAGUGUACAGGAGAAAUGCUCAUGGGAAUCCUGUCCAUUAUCACAGAGCAGGUAUUAGUGGGUGAAUAUGGAGCUGAGAAGUAAUAAGUUGUAACUGGCAUAGAUAUCAUGGGGAUAUUUGAAGAACGCUGUGAACACAUAUGCAUGGGUCCAUGUAUUCAUGAGUGUGCACAUAUGUGUAAUUAUUCAUACAAUUCAUGGUGGAUACUACUUCGAGGGUGUUCACAGACCCCAGGCAGAGAGCGCCUGGAGGGAAAAUUAUCCAAGGCAGGCCCAUUCAUAGUUCCAGGACAGCCAGAAGAAAGCCUCCG
rnacentral:lncRNA from 1 species